rnacentral:rRNA from 1 species
GACAGAGGGUGCAAACGUUGUUCGGAAUUACUGGGCGUAAAGCGCACGUAGGCGGCUUUGUAAGUUAGAGGUGAAAGCCCAGGGCUUAACCCUGGAAUUGCCUUUAAGACUGCAUCGCUAGAAUCGUGGAGAGGUGAGUGGAAUUCCGAGUGUAGAGGUGAAAUUCGUAGAUAUUCGGAAGAACACCAGUGGCGAAGGCGACUCACUGGACACGUAUUGACGCUGAGGUGCGAAAGCGUGGGGAGCAAACAGG